rnacentral:antisense_RNA from 1 species
UUCUACGGCGGAUUGUGUGGGGAGGCCUUCGGGCCUGCCGGUCCCUGUGCCCGGUCUGUCAACCCCGCGCAAUCCGCCACCUUA